GGACGACGUGCCCGAUACAUUCAAUUUUUGUCCCAACUACCCUUCACCCCCUCUCCAUUUUGAAAUAAAGGGGUCAAACUUAGAAAAUCGUUUCACACCCCAUUCAUUCUUGAAGAUUUUUCAGAGAAACAAGGGCCAACGACGAUCUCGCCCAACACAACCGAUUCGUCCGUAGUUAGUGUAUUUGAUGAUAGAAGAUAUAGUGAGUCUCUUCCGUAUACAAGCGGUUAUAAUUGCGUACUUACAAUUGAGGAGAAGAAGGUGAUUUGGACGAUGUGCGAGGCAGCGUCUCAUUAGGAAAUUACUUUCUAUCAUUAAAAUGGAUACGCAAACUGCAAAGGAUUCUUGACGCUGUACAAAAAUUUUCGAUAUCACUUGAAGGAAUGGGGCGUUGGCACUCAAAGACCCCAAAAUGCGAGGGAGUUGUUUAAUUUACGGCAUAGUAAGGCUCGUAACGUUAUCGAGCGAGCUUUUGCUGUUCUUAAGAUGGGGUGGGGAAUCCUAAGGAGUGCUAGUUUCUAUCCGAUUAAGAUCCAAAUCCGGAUAGUAAUGGCAUGCUUCUUACUCCAUAAUUUCAUUCAAGGGAAAAUGAACAACGAUCCCAUAGAACAAAAAAUUGAUUCAGCAACACAGAAUGCAGACAAUGAGGAAGCUGGGGGAGAUCUAGAAUUCAUAGACCAAGUUGAGACAAGUACAUCAUGGACUCAAAUGCGGGAUGAAUUGGUUAAUUCUAUGCGGUCUAAUCAAGCUAAUGUCGACGUCCACUGAGGACAGAGACAUGAUACCCGAGUGUCACUGUGGUGGGGCAAGAUGUCAUUGUUUUGUGAUGGAAAGGAAGCAACUCAUAGUGGCAGAUUCUUCUACAAAUGUCCAACAAACGCAAAACAUUCUGGGUCUUUUCUAUGGUGUGACGAUUAUCAUAGCCGUAAUGGAGAUGGGAAGCUUCCAAAUUAUGUAUUGAAUCAAGCUUGAAGUUCAGCUAAAGUAGCAGGCAACUCUGAAUCUAAAAAAAACAAAAGGCUGUUAAACAAUGUAAAAGAAUGUGGUGUUUGUGGAAGAUUUCAGGCUGAACUCCGGAUGAACUAUUUGUUGGUUGUGUCAUGGGUAUAAUCUUGUUCUUGUUAGGUGUUGUGUUAGGGAAACUGUUCUAGUGUCUAAUUCUGUUUGCAAUCUGGAAGUUUAUGUUAAAACUUGGUGCAACUAAUUUUGGAUUCUGGUUUAUGUAAUUGAACCAUAUUAUUCUAUUUUGUUAGGAUCCAUCUCCAUUUCUGUUUAAUGAAAUGAUCUCAGCAUUUUCUAUUCAA